rnacentral:misc_RNA from 1 species
UACGGAGGAUCCAAGCAUUAUCCGGAAUUAUUGGGCGUAAAGGGCUCGUAGGCGGUUUGUCGCGUCGGGAGUGAAAACUCAGGGCUCAACCCUGAGCGUGCUUCCGAUACGGGCAGACUAGAGGUAUGCAGGGGAGAACGGAAUUCCUGGUGUAGCGGUGGAAUGCGCAGAUAUCAGGAGGAACACCGGUGGGGAAGGCGGUUCUCUGGGCAUUACCUGACGCUGAGGAGCGAAAGCAUGGGUAGCGGACCGG